AAUUACAUUGAUGGGAUGAAUAAAUAGAGCCAAGUCGCUUGACUUGGAGGAUCCCACUCUCUUCUUGCUUUGCUUACUUCUCUCUGCUCUAUUGCUGUUUUCUAUUCACUUUACCCAACUUCUAUUACUCAUUUUUCUCCCCAUUUUUUUGGCUCACUCGCAGCCUUUUUUUUUUGUUCCCUGAACCUUUUCUUUGAACCCAAACACAAAACCCCAAAGAAACCCACUUUCCCAUUUAACCCAGGGUCAAUAACUCCACGAUCCAACUCUAACCCAAGUUCCUAAUUGCAAUGUUUAUUGAAGCCGAAUGUCAAUAGAAAAGGCGGAAAGCAGAUUACAAGAUGAUCAACUAAAUGGAGCCUCAAUAAGCCCUUAUUGAGUGCUUACUUGUAUAGUUUCUACUACCAAUAAUAAGAUCAUUAGUUUCUAUUUUCUUUCCAUUCAUUUUAUGUGUAACAUAAUUGUAAUUCUAUUAAAAUCGUCAAGGUGGGUUUCUGAAAUCUGUUUAAGCACGAUGUGAGUUUCCUUUGAGUCUUAAGUGGAUGCUUGCUGUGGCUUUUAGGACAAAGGGGGAAUUAUUGUUGUACUUUAAAAUGGUGGGUUUGUCAUGGUUGAGUGCCAUCCUAGUUGGGGCGGGCUGCCUUGCACUAGGGUACUGCAUUGGUAGGCACCGUCCUACAUGUAUAUUUCUCUCAUCAAGAGGAGCUAAAGAUACUACAGUCUCUAAAGUAAAUAAGAAGAUCAAAGAACCCUUGGAAAUCGAAAAGUUGGCAGACAUUCUAGAGGAUUUUAAAAUGGUACUGGUUGUAAGAAACGAUCUUAAGAUGGGUAAAGGGAAAAUUGCUGCCCAAUGCAGUCAUGCAACUUUGGGUCUUUACAAAAAACUCCUACAUCGAGCACCAAAAGCUUUGAACAGGUGGGAGAUGUGUGCUCAGCCAAAGGUGGUUGUGAAAAUUGAUAGCGAGGAAGAUAUGCUAGUUUUGCAAGAGAGGGCAAAAUCAUUAAACAUACCGACACAUAUCACCAUUGAUGCAGGGAGAACUCAGAUUGCACCAAAUUCGAGGACGGUGAUGGCUAUUCUUGGUAAGAGCAUUAUGUUGUAGGCAUGACAGCUUGGGUUCAAUUCUAAACAACCCCAUUUCCCUCCGCCAAUUAUCAAAAAAAGAAAAAAAGAAAAUCCUCCCAUUGAAGAAGCUUGAGGAGCAACUUCUAAUUUAACAAGGUUGUGGUUAUUUUCAUCUACGUUUCUUUAAAGAUAUUUCGUCCAUUAACUUUAAAGUGAAAUCCACUCUAUACUUGGUGCUAGAUUCUUAGAAACUUUUGUUUCGGUUUUGUGAUGAUGGCGAAAAGUUGCUGCUUUUUCUACUCGGUGGGUUUGAAGACAAUUGGAGAAUUGUUUCGUGCUAUUCAAUAACGCUUUAGAUGUUUGGCUUCAUGAAUAUUCAAUAACUUUGGGGAUUUUUAUUAUAUUCUAAUAUUUUACAAUGAA